AGAAUGCACAUUGAUUAUCCUUGGAGCCAUAGAAUAAACAAAACACCUUACAAAACCAAGUUAGCACAUCUUAGAAUGGUUCUCACAGGCUUACUAACCUAUGUCUUUGAUUCUAGUUGAUGGGAAAAUCCU
rnacentral:pre_miRNA from 1 species